UACGUAGUGUGAAUUGCAGAAUUCCGUGAACCAUCGAAUCUUUGAACGCAUAUUGCGCUCGACCCUUCGGGGAAGAGCAUGUCUGCCUCAGCGUCGGUUUAAACCUCAUCCCUUCCCAUUUGUAUGGGUCUGAUUGGCUUGCUCAAGCCGAUUAUUGGGAUGGAUCUGACCUCCCCAAUAUUUGCUUAGCAUCUCUUGGGUUGGUUGAAGCACAGAGGCUUAAACUGGGACCCGAUUUGGGCUCAACUGGAUAGGUAGCUCCACUUUGUCUUGUGCAAAGUGCCUACACGAAGUUGUGUCUGUGGACCUGGUUAGGAGCCAAGCAGGAAUCAAGUUUUUACUUGAAUCAAAGGUUCGACCUGAGCUCAGGCAAGGCUACCC
rnacentral:rRNA from 1 species